rnacentral:pre_miRNA from 1 species
GGGGGGAGCGCAGGAUCCUGGGUUGUGUCCCUCGGUGCCCUGGGCUCUGGGGCCUGCGCUGCUGGACUCCGCUCCGGCCGCGCAGCCCCCU